GACGAACGCUGGCGGCGUGCUUAACACAUGCAAGUCGAACGAAGUGGCGAACGGGUGAGUAACGCGUAAUCAACCUGCCCUUCAGAGGGGGACAACAGUGGGAAACGACUGCUAAUCCCGCAUACUGAAGGAGGGGAUUGCGUCUGAUUGGCUAUGUGGAGGGGUAACGGCCCACCAAGGCGAUGAUCAGUAGCCGGUCUGAGGGGAUGAACGGCCACAUUGGGACUGAGACACGGCCCAGACUCCUUCGGGGGGCAGCAGUGGGGGAUCUUCCGCAAUGGACGAAAGUCUGACGGAGCAACGCCGCGUGAGUGAUGACGGCCUUCGGGUUGUAAAGCUCUGUUAAUCGGGACGCGGUACCGGAAUAGAAAGCAACGGCUAACUACGUGCCAGCAGCCGCGGUAAUUC
rnacentral:rRNA from 1 species